AUGAACGCUGGCGGCGUGCUUAACACAUGCAAGUCGAACGGUGAAAGAGGAGCUUGCUCCUCUGGAUCAGUGGCGAACGGGUGAGUAACACGUGAGUAACCUGCCCUUGACUCUGGGAUAAGCGUUGGAAACGACGUCUAAUACCGGAUACGACCUUCGGAGGCAUCUCCUGGGGGUGGAAAGAAUUUCGGUCAAGGAUGGACUCGCGGCCUAUCAGCUAGUUGGUGAGGUAAUGGCUCACCAAGGCGACGACGGGUAGCCGGCCUGAGAGGGUGACCGGCCACACUGGGACUGAGACACGGCCCAGACUCCUACGGGAGGCAGCAGUGGGGAAUAUUGCACAAUGGGCGCAAGCCUGAUGCAGCAACGCCGCGUGAGGGACGACGGCCUUCGGGUUGUAAACCUCUUUUAGUAGGGAAGAAGCGAAAGUGACGGUACCUGCAGAAAAAGCACCGGCUAACUACGU
rnacentral:rRNA from 1 species